GGAUCAUUACCGAGUUUACAACUCCCAAACCCCUGUGAACAUACCACUUGUUGCCUCGGCGGAUCAGCCCGCUCCCGGUAAAACGGGACGGCCCGCCAGAGGACCCCUAAACUCUGUUUCUAUAUGUAACUUCUGAGUAAAACCAUAAAUAAAUCAAAACUUUCAACAACGGAUCUCUUGGUUCUGGCAUCGAUGAAGAACGCAGCAAAAUGCGAUAAGUAAUGUGAAUUGCAGAAUUCAGUGAAUCAUCGAAUCUUUGAACGCACAUUGCGCCCGCCAGUAUUCUGGCGGGCAUGCCUGUUCGAGCGUCAUUUCAACCCUCAAGCACAGCUUGGUGUUGGGACUCGCGUUAAUUCGCGUUCCUCAAAUUGAUUGGCGGUCACGUCGAGCUUCCAUAGCGUAGUAGUAAAACCCUCGUUACUGGUAAUCGUCGCGGCCACGCCGUUAAACCCCAACUUCUGAAUGUUGACCUCGGAUCAGGUAGGAAUACCCGCUGAACUUAAGCAUAUCAAUAAGCCGGGGG
rnacentral:rRNA from 1 species